rnacentral:lncRNA from 1 species
UGGGACCGCUGGCCUGGGCUGAGCUGAGCUUUCUGCUUUUCCUGGGAGACGGAGAGGAGCCCAAUUCACUUUCUGUAUGGUCCUGUCCUUCAUUCCAGUUUAUAAGGGUGAAUGAGGCAAGGAGUACCAUCAAUUAUAGUGUCCUUGAGGAUGGGGAACUUCAUCUUUUUCAUGUUAUACAAAGUCCUGUCUGAACGGCAAGAAAAGAGCCAAGCUUCCAACCAAGAGAGAAGGAGCAGAGGACUGGUCUCCUUUUUUUGAUUUCAGGAAGUCACUGAAGUCUUGUGUGGCCCCAUAUGGCGACCCCUCCUCCCCGAGCCUGCCCUGGUACCUAUACUCCCAGCCCUUUCAAUCACUUUUUUAUAUUAAGGUAUUAUGUCCAAGAGGAUUGUACUACCGUGCACGUUCCCGUCCCAGUGUGAUGGUUCACUAUCUGAGCACAAAAUGGGUGUUCAACAUCUGUUUGUUGGAUGGAUAAAUUCAAGAGGAGAUGCAUGGUAACACAAGGUAGGUAAGCUUGGCUGGAAGGAGAGAAAGAGGGGGAAAGGGCUGAGGGCUGAGGUUGUGAAAGAAACGUUAGAGCAGGAGGGUCUGCUUUGGGAAAUAGGAGACCGGACUAAGAGAUCCGAAAUGAAGGGGAGUGGUAUUAGAGGAAAGGGAGGAGGUCCUGAAGUCAAUAUCCACUUCCUUCCCCAUUUUUCCCAGGACCAGCCCUGGCUCUGGUUGAUUUUUAAACAAAGUACGUUGACAGCAAUAAAUAUCAAAGGCUGUCUGUACCCUAAUGAAAACAGGAGGCAAGGAGGAAAAGUUAGUUGGUUGUGAUUCACCACAGCUCAUAAAUAAUCCCACAGGCCCUACUUCUGGCCCUCUGCCAUUCCUGGGGCCAGGGAACUGAGGAGCCACGGAAUCUUUCUGACUGCUGAUUUAAUUAAGUGUGGCUCGUCUGUGACGGCGCCCAGCUCGGCUCAAAGCCAAAGGAACAGGUGAAUUGGCCGUGUCAUUGAUGGGCAGGUCAGGCUUCUUGUUCGACCAAAUCAACCAGUCAUUCGGGAGAUCUGAAGACUUCUGGACAGCAGUUGACUCUGCCACAGUGUUGGAAAACAUCGGUGAUUUGGUUAAAACCUAUCACGAUAGUGACAAACAUACUGCUCAAGUGGGUCCAUGUGACAGUCUGUAGCUGCCACUUCAGUGAAACCAAGUUUUGACAUUAUAUAGUCAAAGCCAUGUUUGAUUGACUGAUUUUUUUUUUUUUUUCUUUCACCUGGUCGUUGUGGACGUAAAGCUGACACAGCAGAGGGGGCAGUGUGGAGACAGUUGGCAUGUUUCCUUCAUGUAGUUUUCACCUUUACCAUCUGGAACUCGGGAAAGAUGUCUUUCCUUCCACCAGCACCACCCACCUUCUCCGCACGGAGGUCUACACCACGUUUACCCAGACAUCAGGAGCAGCUGUCUCAGGCAGAAGGCGGUGGGCUCCAGGUGGGCGCUCAGCGCGAGGGCAGGUGAGAUAAUGAGCAACAG